rnacentral:rRNA from 1 species
GGGACGAACGCUGGCGGCGUGCUUAACACAUGCAAGUCGAGCGGUAAGGCCUUUCGGGGUACACGAGCGGCGAACGGGUGAGUAACACGUGGGUGAUCUGCCCUGCACUUCGGGAUAAGCCUGGGAAACUGGGUCUAAUACCGGAUAUGACCUCCUAUCGCAUGGUGGGUGGUAGAAAGAUUUAUCGGUGCAGGAU